rnacentral:lncRNA from 1 species
CAGCUGUGGAUCCGGAUCCAUACGCAGCGGCGAUUGUGCAUAUGAAUGGAUCAAGUUAGGCAGCCAGCCACCUGUUCCGGCAGAUCCCUUAGGCAACAGAAAUCUUCCAUUGAAGUAUAUAGGUUAGCUGUGUGAAUCGAGAGUGCAAAUUCAGCCAUGAAAUCGAUCUAGACCGAGCUCAUUACUGUGCUAGCUUUAGAAUCCCAUUUAUAAACUUACAGUAGU